rnacentral:rRNA from 1 species
CAGCAGCCGCGGUAAAACGGAGGUGGCAAGCGUUGUCCGGAAUUAUUGGGCGUAAAGGGCUCGCAGGCGGUUUCUUAAGUCUGAUGUGAAAGCCCCCGGCUCAACCGGGGAGGGUCAUUGGAAACUGGGAAACUUGAGUGCAGAAGAGGAGAGUGGAAUUCCACGUGUAGCGGUGAAAUGCGUAGAGAUGUGGAGGAACACCAGUGGCGAAGGCGACUCUCUGGUCUGUAACUGACGCUGAGGAGCGAAAGCGUGGGGAGCGAACAGGAUUAGAUACCCCUGUAGUCCCUGUCUCUUAUAC